rnacentral:rRNA from 1 species
UACGUAGGGGGCGAGCGUUGUCCGGAUUUAUUGGGCGUAAAGAGCGUGUAGGCGGUUCGGUAAGUCUGUCGUGAAGUCCUGAGGCUUAACUUCGAAACUGCAUUCGAUACUGCCGUGCUUGAGGACUGGAGAGGAGACUGGAAUUUACGGUGUAGCGGUGAAAUGCGUAGAUAUCGUAAGGAAGACCAGUGGCGAAGGCGGGUCUCUGGACAGUUCCUGACGCUGAGGCACGAAGGCCAGGGGAGCAAACGGG